UACAGAGGUGGCAAGCGUUGUUCGGAAUUACUGGGCGUAAAGGGCGCGUAGGCGGUCAGGUCAGUCCCGUGUGAAAUCCCUCGGCUCAACUGAGGAACUGCACGGGAAACUGCCUGGCUUGAGUUCGGGAGAGGGAAGCGGAAUUCCGGGUGUAGCGGUGAAAUGCGUAGAUAUCGGGAGGAACACCAGUGGCGAAGGCGACUAUCUGGGCUGAAACUGACGCUGAGGCGCGAAGGCUAGGGGAGCAAACAGG
rnacentral:rRNA from 1 species